UACGUAGGGUGCAAGCGUUGUCCGGAAUUAUUGGGCGUAAAGAGCUCGUAGGCGGUUUGUCGCGUCUGCUGUGAAAACUGGGGGCUCAACCCCCAGCCUGCAGUGGGUACGGGCAGACUAGAGUGCGGUAGGGGAGAUUGGAAUUCCUGGUGUAGCGGUGGAAUGCGCAGAUAUCAGGAGGAACACCGGUGGCGAAGGCGGGACUCUGGGCCGAUACUGACGCUGAGGAGCGAAAGCGUGGGGAGCAAACAGG
rnacentral:rRNA from 1 species